rnacentral:rRNA from 1 species
AUUGAACGCUGGCGGCAUGCUUUACACAUGCAAGUCGAACGGCAGCGCGGGCUUCGGCCUGGCGGCGAGUGGCGAACGGGUGAGUAAUGCAUCGGAACGUGCCCAGUAGUGGGGGAUAGCCCGGCGAAAGCCGGAUUAAUACCGCAUACGACCUGAGGGUGAAAGCGGGGGACCGAAAGGCCUCGCGCUAUUGGAGCGGCCGAUGUAGGAUUAGCUAGUUGGUGGGGUAAAGGCUUACCAAGGCGACGAUCCGUAGCUGGUCUGAGAGGACGACCAGCCACACUGGGACUGAGACACGGCCCAGACUCCUACGGGAGGCAGCAGUGGGGAAUGUUGGACAAUGGGGGCAACCCUGAUCCAGCCAUGCCGCGUGCGGGAAGAAGGCCUUCGGGUUGUAAACCGCUUUUGUUCGGGAAGAAAUCCUCUGGGCUAAUACCCCGGGGGGAUGACGGUACCGGAAGAAUAAGCACCGGCUAACUACGUG